rnacentral:rRNA from 2 species
ACGGGUGAGUAACACGUGGAUAACCUACCUAUAAGACUGGGAUAACUUCGGGAAACCGGAGCUAAUACCGGAUAACAUAUUGAACCGCAUGGUUCAAUAGUGAAAGGCGGCUUUGCUGUCACUUAUAGAUGGAUCCGCGCCGUAUUAGCUAGUUGGUAAGGUAACGGCUUACCAAGGCAACGAUACGUAGCCGACCUGAGAGGGUGAUCGGCCACACUGGAACUGAGACACGGUCCAGACUCCUACGGGAGGCAGCAGUAGGGAAUCUUCCGCAAUGGGCGAAAGCCUGACGGAGCAACGCCGCGUGAGUGAUGAAGGUCUUCGGAUCGUAAAACUCUGUUAUCAGGGAAGAACAAAUGUGUAAGUAACUGUGCACAUCUUGACGGUACCUGAUCAGAAAGCCACGGCUAACUACGUGCCAGCAGCCGCGGUAAUACGUAGGUGGCAAGCGUUAUCCGGAAUUAUUGGGCGUAAAGCGCGCGUAGGCGGUUUUUUAAGUCUGAUGUGAAAGCCCACGGCUCAACCGUGGAGGGUCAUUGGAAACUGGAAAACUUGAGUGCAGAAGAGGAAAGUGGAAUU